GGAAAAGUAAGCUCAGCGGUAGAGUGCUUGCCUAACAAGCACAAGGCCCUGGGUUCGGUCCCCAGCUCCG
rnacentral:tRNA from 1 species